UCAAACUUGGUCAUUUAGAGGAAGUAAAAGUCGUAACAAGGUUUCCGUAGGUGAACCUUCGGAAGGAUCAUUACCGUAACGCGGUCGCCCAUCCGGCGGCCACACGCGUUUACCACCCUUGAUUUUGAGCACCUUUGUUUCCUCGGCGGGGACGCCCGCCAGCGAGGACCCCCCAAAAACCUUUGCAGUAGCAGUUUUUGUCUGAAAAACAAAACAAUCGUUAAAACUUUCAACAAUGGAUCUCUUGGUUCUGGCAUCGAUGAAGAACGCAGC
rnacentral:misc_RNA from 1 species